UACGGGGGGGGCAAGCGUUGUUCGGAAUUACUGGGCGUAAAGGGCGUGUAGGUGGCCAACUAAGUCCGACGUGAAAUCCCCAGGCUUAACCUGGGAACUGCGUCGGAUACUGGAUGGCUUGAAUUCGGGAGAGGGAUGCAGAAUUCCAGGUGUAGCGGUGAAAUGCGUAGAUAUCUGGAGGAAUACCGGUGGCGAAGGCGGCAUCCUGGACCGGCAUUGACGCUGAGGAGCGAAAGCCAGGGGAGCAAACGGG
rnacentral:rRNA from 1 species